UUUAAUGGCCAUACCGCCCUGAAAGGCGCUCGAUCUCUUUUGAUCUUGGAAGCUAAACAGGGUCGGGCCGGGUUAGUACUGGCGGGGCGGGGUGGCUCCUGUCUAUAAUCCUAGCACUUUGGGAGGCCGAGGUGGGUGGAUCAC
rnacentral:rRNA from 1 species